UACGAAGGGUGCAAACGUUGCUCGGAAUUAUUGGGCGUAAAGCGCACGUAGGCGGCUUUUCAAGUCCCAUGUGAAAGCCCACGGCUUAACCGUGGAAGUGCAUGGGAAACUGGAAAGCUUGAGUACUUAAGAGGAUCGCGGAAUUCCCGGUGUAGAGGUGAAAUUCGUAGAUAUCGGGAGGAACACCAGAGGCGAAAGCGGCGACCUGGACAGGAACUGACACUCAACUACGAAAGCGUGGGGAGCAAACAGG
rnacentral:rRNA from 1 species